UUUCGAAACACCGUAUUCAAAUCAGUCUCGAGCGAGGGACGGAAGAACUUCACAAUUCGAACAAAUGGAGGAAGAUAGUGGUGAACAGAUGAAACCCCUCCUUACUACGGGCAAUGAUGAAGAAGCUGUUGUUGAUCAUGGGAAAACCAGCUCCACCAUCAACACAAACUUUGAAAAAGAGGAACUUGAAAGUCACAGGGCAGUGUACGUUGGCGUUCAUGUACCUCUAGGAAGAGAAGGCAGACGUAGACACCGUCACCGUGGUCAUCGGCACCAUCGGAAAAGAAAGGACAGAGGGUCAGAUAGAGAAGACGGCAGAGAAUCUCCAUCAAACGACACCCCCUCACAGAGGGUCCAGUUUAUUCUGGGCACUGAGGAUGAUGAUGAAGAGCACAUCCCUCACGACCUCUUCACAGAGUUAGACGAGCUGUCCUUCCGUGAAGGACAUGUGUACGAGUGGAAAGAAACGGCUAGGUGGUUGAAGUUCGAGGAGGACGUGGAGGACGGAGGUGAACGCUGGAGCAAACCCUACGUCGCCACGCUUUCCCUGCACAGUUUAUUUGAAUUAAGAAGCUGCAUUCUCAAUGGCACAGUCAUGCUGGACAUGAGAGCCAACACCAUCGAGGAGAUAGCAGAUAUGGUUCUAGACAACAUGGUGGGUUCAGGGCAGCUGGACGAGGAUUUGAGGGAGAACGUGCGGGAAGCCAUGCUGAAGCGACACCACCACCAGAACGAGAAGAAACUGAGCAAUCGCAUCCCGCUCGUGCGCUCCUUCGCCGACAUAGGUGAGGGUCUCUCCGCCUCCCGUCUGUCUCUCCUCCUCCGCAGCUCCUCCAUUUCCACUCCCCUCAACUCGCGCCGUCCCUCCAGAGACUCCCGCGGUUCCCGCUCCUCCAUCAUCCUCAACCACCUCCUCCCCAGUGCCAACUCCACCCCCUCCGCCUCCCCUAAUGUCACCCCUCACAACACGCCCCCCACCCCCCGCAGAGCUCCAUCUCCUCCCCGCUUUCCAGGACCCUCCCUGCAGGUGCCCGAGCUGCUCGUGGUGCGGGGAGAGAGAGCGGACAUUCCGAAGGUCAUGGUGUUCCCGCCCGACGAGGAGGAACCGUGGUUGUCUGCCAGUCAGGAGGAGCAGGUGGUGCCCGAGCCUGCCAGACUGGCACAGCUCCUGCCUCCACCUCAGUCAGGCCACCUCGCGUCCCCCCAGUCGGCCCCGGGGAACCUGGAAAACAGCAAACCCAGUGAGCACCGUAUGAAUGGUGCGAGCGGCAGCAGAGAAAACAGCACUGUUGACUUCAGCAAGGUGGACAUGAAUUUUAUGAAGAAAAUUCCUGCGGGCGCGGAGGCUUCAAAUGUUUUGGUGGGGGAAGUUGAUUUUCUGGAGUGUCCCAUCAUCGCCUUUAUUCGCCUCUCACCUGCUGUUCUCCUCACUGGACUGACGGAAGUGCCGGUUGCUACAAGGUUCCUCUUUUUGCUGCUGGGACCUUUCGGGAAAGGGCCCCAGUACCACGAGAUUGGCAGGUCGAUAGCUACUUUAAUGACUGAUGAGAUAUUUCAUGAUGUUGCAUACAAAGCCAAAGAUAGGAAUGACUUGCUGUCCGGCAUAGACGAGUUCUUGGACCAGGUGACCGUGCUGCCCCCAGGAGAGUGGGACCCCACGAUACGAAUCGAGCCACCAAAGAGCGUUCCAUCUCAGGAGAAAAGAAAGAUCCCUUCUACGCCGAAUGGGUCUGCUCCGCUCUCGGAGUCCAUCAAAGAGGAAGACCACAACACUGGACCUGAACUUCAGAGGACAGGACGGAUAUUUGGGGGUCUGAUACUAGACUUAAAACGGAAAGCUCCGUUUUAUUGGAGCGACGUGCGAGAUGCUUUCAGCCUGCAGUGCUUGGCCUCUAUUCUGUUCCUCUAUUGUGCCUGCAUGUCUCCUGUCAUCACCUUUGGAGGCCUUCUGGGGGAAGCUACCAAAAACAACAUAAGUGCCAUUGAGUCUCUGUUUGGGGCUUCUAUGACCGGUGUGGCCUAUUCGCUGUUUGCCGGGCAGCCAUUGACGAUACUGGGCAGCACAGGGCCUGUUUUGGUGUUCGAGAAGAUUCUGUUCAAGUUCUGCAGUGAAUUCGGUCUUUCCUACCUCCCUCUGCGCACUAGCAUCGGGCUGUGGACAGCUUUAUUGUGCAUUUUGCUCGUUGCCACAGACGCCAGCUCUCUGGUGUGCUACAUCACUCGAUUCACAGAGGAGGCCUUUGCUGCUCUUAUCUGCAUCAUAUUCAUCUACGAAGCCUUGGAGAAACUCUUUCAGCUGGGAGAGAUGUUCCCUUUCAACAUGCAUGACAAUUUAGACAAUCUCACCUUCUACACGUGUCAGUGUUCACCACCAGCUAAUAUCACACAGAACAUGAUCCAGUCAUGGAAUCAGUCGCGUUUUACUCCCGAUAACAUUACAUGGAGUGAGCUAGACGUGCCGACAUGCAAGGAGCUCUAUGGCCAGUUUGUUGGUCCUGCUUGCGGACACAGCGGACCGUAUAUCCCUGACGUGUUGUUCUGGUCUGUCAUCCUCUUCUUUACCACCUUCUUCCUGUCAUCCUUCCUCAAGCAGUUUAAGACCAAGCGCUAUUUUCCCACUAAGGUCCGCUCUUCCAUCAGUGACUUUGCAGUUUUUCUCACCAUCAUGAUCAUGGUCUUGGUUGAUUAUUUGGUGGGCGUCCCGUCUCCUAAAUUACAUGUCCCGGACAGGUUUGAGCCCACCUCUAACAAGCGAGGCUGGCUGAUCUCACCCCUGGGCGACAACCCCCCAUGGACGUUGCUGGCGGCAGCCAUUCCUGCCCUCUUAUGCACCAUUCUGAUCUUCAUGGAUCAACAGAUCACCGCCGUGAUCAUCAACCGUAAAGAACACAAACUCAAGAAAGGCUGCGGGUAUCACCUGGACCUUCUGGUGGUGGCGGUGAUGCUCGGCGUGUGUUCUAUUAUGGGCUUGCCCUGGUUCGUCGCCGCCACCGUCCUCUCCAUCUCUCACGUCAACAGCCUGAAGGUGGAGUCGGAAUGCUCGGCCCCAGGAGAGCAGCCCAAAUUCCUGGGUAUCCGUGAGCAGAGGGUCACCGGACUGAUGAUCUUUGUACUUAUGGGUUUAUCUGUCUUCAUGACAUCCAUUCUAAAGUUUAUACCGAUGCCUGUGUUGUAUGGUGUGUUCCUCUAUAUGGGAGUCUCCUCUCUCAAAGGCAUACAGUUUUUUGACCGGAUUAAGCUGUUUAGCAUGCCGGCGAAGCACCAGCCAGAUCUGAUCUACCUGAGAUACGUGCCGUUGUGGAAGGUUCACAUUUUCACUUUAGUCCAACUCACCUGUCUGGUGCUCCUGUGGGUCAUCAAAGCUUCUGCGGCUGCCGUGGUCUUCCCAAUGAUGGUUCUGGCUCUGGUGUUCAUACGGAAGCUUCUAGACUUCUGCUUUACGAAGAGGGAGCUCAGCUGGCUGGAUGAUCUCAUACCUGAAAGCAAGAAGAAAAAGGAAGAUGACAAAAAGAAAAAGGCUAAGGAGGAAGCACAGUUCAUGAUGGAGGACGUAGGCAUAGAGAUCCCCUGCGAUGGUGGAAAUUAUUUAGGCGAUCCUGUAAAGGCCAUAAAAAUCAGAUCUGAUGGCAUAGCCUCUGGCACGUCAUAUGAGGAAGACACAGGCACAGCGGUUGGUCUUUUGUGUAUUUGGAGGCGUGCUUGUUCCCUCUUUAUGGCUAUUGGAGUUAAUCAUCCAUUACGGUUGAUUAACGCAGAAUACUCAGAUUUUAACACAGCCGGCGCUGUAUGAGCAUGGUCAAGAGUCUCUGAAUGCUCAUUCAUGCUCAUACACUGCUCAUGCAUUUAUAGCAGAGGGAAUCAUUUUCCAAUACAGAAAAGCUUAAAGGAAUAGUUCACCUAGAAAAUGAAAAUUCUCUCAUCAUUUACUCACCCUGUAGUCAUUUUAAACCCGUGCAAGUUUCUUUCUUCUGCUAAACAUAAUAGAAGAUAUUUAAAAACCAAAAACCGUUGGUCCCUUUUGACUAUUGUAUGGACACAAAAACAAUGGUUUUUGGUGACAAACAAUUUUCUAAAUAUGUUCUUUUGUGUUCUGCAGAAAAAAGAAAGAAUAUCAUUUCAUUUCAAUUUGACAAAAGUGACAAUAAUGAAAAAAUAAUGACUAUCCCUUUAAGAUGCUUGUUGCUUACAGUUCACCACAGACAUGUGUUAUUUCAUGUGUAAGCAGUGUAAAUCUGUGCCCUCCGAAAUCUGAACAAAGUCCAACAAAUGAAAGGAAAAGUUCACUUUAGAAUGAAAACUUUAUGAUUAUUUACUCACCCUCCAAGAUGUCCAUGUCUUUAUUUAUAGUCACAUUGGAAAGUCACACGUCUGACGUUAAUGGGAUGUACCGACCUAUUGUGAACGAGUGGUGAGAAGGAGCUGGUUCAAUUGUUGCUGGAUGUUUUGCGAAACAUAUUAUGUUUUUGAGCCAGAUUAUGGUUUAAAUGGUCCUCAGACACGUGACCAACGUGAUAUUUUAUUACGGGAAGUCACGAACGCACAAUACGGUUGGGUGCAAGCAGUGUAUUUGUGAUUAAAAAGUACAAUUGUGCAUAGAAAAUGACUAAUCGUUUCGCUGGAAGACACCCUAAUUCAUUGGCUGGUGUCGCGUUUAGCCAUUUAAAGCUAAGAAAAAACUGAUAUUCGAACCUUCAAUCAGGUUGCCCCCCAUGAAAUCCAUUAUUUAGAGAAAGAUCCGGAAAUGUUUUCCUUAACAAACUUGGAUUAGUUUCUACAUAAGAAAUAAAGACAUAGACGUCUUGGAUGACAUGAGGAUGAGUAAAUAAGCAUACAAUUUUAAUUCUAAAUUGAACUUCUCCUUUAACCAGAUUCAUUUACAUUACGUGGCCCUGCAUUUGUCAAUAUCAUUUUAUUGUAUAAUGGGUCAUAUCUGAUGAUAUAUGAUUUAUGUAGGAUAUUGGACUAAAAAUAUUAGUUCUCUAUUAGCCUGUUGGCGUUGAAUUUGCAGUUAUCUUUAGAUCUCUCAAAUAUGGGUUGUCUUAUGAUGAUUAUAUGCAACUCAACUCAAGUCCUUUUUCAAGGAUUUGCAUUGAUUUUCUUUUGUUUGUGCAAGGUCUUCCAAUGUAAAAUCUGUUGACUUUUGAUUAUCUGAUGUGAUAAGGGUAUUGGCCUGAUUUAAUAAUUCCAGAUGGACUGGAGCAAAGAUUUACUUUAAGUACUAACACGGCAAGAAGCAAUUAACAAUUUGCCCUCGAGGAGUCCUAACAUGUGAAGAACUACUUUCCCGUAAAAGCACAAUCACAGCAACAUUAAUCUUUCUAAAUGUAUCACAUUUUAAGUAACAUGCAACACAGAGGCUUCAGAAUAAGAUAUGUGAGCUGGGAAGGUUCAAGGUGUUUUUCAUGUUUAAAACAAUCGGAUGGCCAUCAAGCACUUUGCUGGUGAAGAGAAAGAGAGAUCCAGUCUGUGGAAUAGUUGUUAUAUUUGACCAGCUUUAAGUGCUGUGAUGUGUCUUUUCUGCAGUUCUGACCCCUCUGUGGUUAACAUAUCUGAUGAGAUGGACAAAACUGCUAUGUGGAAAGCUGUUUCCAGUGCCAAAGUAUUGAAACCUAGCAUCAGCUGUAAAGAGAAGACGGCUUGCAUAAGGAUCAACCUGGAGGAUGAUCUGGGGA